CCUCGACGCUGGCCGCGGGGUGAGAGUGAGGGCGAAGCCGAGAUCCAAAGCCCCAAUUCACCGCCGGCGGCUGCCCUAAAACCGACGCGGCCCAUUCCUCCUCCGCCACCGCGGCAAGCAGCAGGAGGAGGGCGGCGCCGGCCCCCUCGACAGGUCGAUCGCGUCCACGUCCGCGCACGCCGCCACCCAUCGCUUCCUCCUCCGCCACCGCGGCGAGCAGCAGCUUGAGAGGCGACGCCGGCCUAUUGCAAGGUGCUCCUUGCUGGUUUCUGGUUUUCCUCUUGAGUAUACUUAUCUGAUAUUGCUCUUUCCGGUUUUGUAGUGAUCAAAAUUCUCGGUGAUUAGAUGAACUGUGACAUUAUAAAGAUUGCUGAACUUGUAAGGAAUAAUUUUCUGCAAAAAUAUGUCUGUUGACGUCGUUUAGAUACGCGUGCCUAGUCGAGAUAAUCCCCAGAGACGCCACUCCCACAAGAGAUCUGCCGACACGCAAAACAAAAAAGAAGCACUGGCUGUUCUAGGCUUCUAGCUUGGUAGGCUCCGGCAAUUUAUCGGAUCUGCUCUGGGUCUUCUCUAAGUAGUCCAGCUGCAUCUGUAACCGUAGUUUCACCUUUAUUUGUUAACAUUGUGAGCUGAACUGUGACCUGGAAACUCAUGUAAGCUUAUAUACAGUGAAGUGUAAAUUUUUUCUCUUGUGUGUAUGUCGGGCCGAUUCCCCUUUCUGUAA